rnacentral:rRNA from 1 species
CACGCCGUAAACGAUGUCUACUUGGAGGUUGUGCCCUUGAGGCGUGGCUUCCGGAGCUAACGCGUUAAGUAGACCGCCUGGGGAGUACGGCCGCAAGGUUAAAACUCAAAUGAAUUGACGGGGGCCCGCACAAGCGGUGGAGCAUGUGGUUUAAUUCGAUGCAACGCGAAGAACCUUACCUGGUCUUGACAUCCACAGAAGAAUCCAGAGAUGGAUUUGUGCCUUCGGGAACUGUGAGACAGGUGCUGCAUGGCUGUCGUCAGCUCGUGUUGUGAAAUGUUGGGUUAAGUCCCGCAACGAGCGCAACCCUUAUCCUUUGUUGCCAGCGAUUAGGUCGGGAACUCAAAGGAGACUGCCAGUGAUAAACUG